UACGUAGGUGGCAAGCGUUGUCCGGAAUUAUUGGGCGUAAAGCGCGCGCAGGCGGUCCUUUAAGUCUGAUGUGAAAGCCCACGGCUCAACCGUGGAGGGUCAUUGGAAACUGGGGGACUUGAGUGCAGGAGAGAAGAGUGGAAUUCCACGUGUAGCGGUGAAAUGCGUAGAUAUCGUGAGGAAGACCAGUGGCGAAGGCGGGUCUCUGGACAGUUCCUGACACUGAGGCACGAAGGCCAGGGGAGCAAACGGG
rnacentral:rRNA from 1 species